GGAGGCCCCAAUUACCCCAUGCGGAUGAGUUUCAUGGCCAUCUCUAACUAAGGACAGGACAUCGAUGUCAUCUGUAACUUCCGGUGCACUGGGGCACACAGCUGCAUCUCCCCAUGCUCACCUCCUGCCUCUUGCUCUGCCCAGUGUGAGGACUCAGCCUGGAUCACCUCCUCCAGGACAAGAACAACCUACCAUCAUCUGUCCGUCCAAUCUACCCACCCAUCCAUCUCUGCCUCUGGCCAUGCAUCCGUCCGUCCAUCCAUCCCCGCCUCUGUGCAUGCAUCUGUCCAUCCAUCCCCGCCUCUGUGCAUGCAUCUGUGCAUCCAUCCAUCCCUGCCUCUGUGCAUGCAUCUGUCCAUCCAUCCCCGCCUCUGUGCAUGCAUCUGUCCAUCCAUCCCCACCUCUGUGCAUGCAUCUGUCCGUACAUCCAUCCCUGCCUCUGUGCAUGCAUCUGUCCAUUCAUCCCUGCCUCUGUGCAUGCAUCUGUCCAUCCAUCCAUCCCCGCCUCUGUGCAUGCAUCUGUCCAUCCAUCCCUGCCUCUGUGCAUGCAUCUGUCCAUUCAUCCCUGCCUCUGUGCAUGCAUCUGUCCAUCCAUCCAUCCCUGCCUCUGUGCAUGCAUCUGUCCAUUCAUCCCUGCCUCUGUGCAUGCAUCUGUCCAUCCAUCCAUCCCUGCCUCUGUGCAUGCAUCUGUCCAUUCAUCCCUGCCUCUGUGUAUGCAUCUGUCCAUCCAUCCAUCCCCACCUCUGUGCAUGCAUCUGUCCAUCCAUCCCCGCCUCUGUGCAUGCAUCUGUCCGUCCAUCCAUCCCUGCCUCUGUGCAUGCAUCUGUCCGUCCAUUCAUCCCUGCCUCUGUGCAUGCAUCUGUCCAUUCAUCCAUCCCUGACUCUGUGCAUGCAUCUGUCCAUCCAUCCAUCCUUGCCUCUAUGCAUGCAUUUGUCCGUCCAUCCAUCCCUGCCUCUGUGCAUGCAUCCAUACCUGCCUCUGUGCAUGCAUCUGUCAGUCUAUCAAUCCCCGAUCCCUUCUUUGUAAUGGUGUUGAGCGCUCACAACUCCCUCAUCCUAAGACGCUCGUUGGAUCCAUUCCCUCCCCUCACCCCAUGCUGCUCUCUGCCCUCCCUUCCCGGUCAAGUUCUCCAGCCAGUGGUCUCAACUCAAUCUUCACUUCCCCCGCUCCUCUCACACCUAUCCCCACUGCAUUCUAAAUUCUUCCCCAACGCGCUGGGCCUACAGGCACUAAAAAGGUCACUUUGUCCCUGGAUGACCAAACACAGGCCAAUGUAACUUACUGGGCUUGUUUUGCCCCAGCCACAGCUGACCACUUCCUCCUUCACUCUUGUUGUUGAUCACCUUUGGGCUUAGUCUUUCUCCAUCUCUGUUGAGUCCUUCUCCCCUGCCACCUACUCCUUCAUGCUGGGGUUCUCUGUAGCUCUGUACCUGACAGUCACGUUCCACCCUUUCCUCCCAGAAGCUCGCCAACCCCCGUGGACUGCUGGCUCUCAAGGCGGCCGCUAGCCCAGCUCCGACAGCAGCUGACAAUGCACAGUAUGCGGCCCAGGGCAGGCCCUGUGCUGAGAGGCAUGGGUGAAUGGCUCAUUUCAUCGGCAAGCCCACGCCACCAGCAGGCGCCGUUCUCCUCGCAUUUCUCAGGCGAGGAACCUGAGACAAUGAGGUUAAGGAAGUUGUUCAUUACAAGUGGAAGAACCCUGACUUACUUGAAUUCAGCUUUGAAGCCCACAUUCUCUUUUUCUGUGUGUGUGACAGGGUCUCACUUUGUCACCCAGGCCGCAGUGCAGUGGUGUGAACACAGCUCAUUGCAGUCUCAACCUCCCUGACUCAAGCAAUCCUCCUGCCUUAGCCUCCUGAGUAGCUGGGACUACAAGCAUGUGCCACCACGCCCAGCCGAAGCCCAUAUGUGAAUGUUGAGGCACACAGCCUCCCCAGCCUCUGCCUUACCAAGCCCUCCACAGGGCCUAGGCACCCUCCCUGGCUGCCCCCUUCCCCCGUCACUCAGGCUCCCCAGCAGCCAAUGUAGUUAAUAUGGGGCUGCAAAGAGCUGGGCCUGGCCUCAGGCGGGACCGCCUCCCCGGCAUUGCCAUCCCUGCUGCAGAGCUCCCAUGCGAUCAGCCUCCUCUCCAGCUGAGACCACAUCCUCACUCAGCUUCUAGGCUGUUCCUGCUCCCCAUUCCCCUCAGCACAUGGCCCCUGAGAAACUGCUUGCACAAGAAUUUCCCUCUGGAGCCCCACCUCUGGGGAACCUGACCUCAGACAGAGGAGACCAAGCUCUAGGGCAGGAUCCUCCACCUCCCUUGCCCCACCGGUGUGGCCAGCCCAGAGCGCUGCAGACUCCCGCCCAGACCUGCACUUGUGCCUGCCUUCUGCCAGCCUGCUCCUCCUCCUCCCACUCUCACACCUGCAUUAACAGCACCAGGACGCCAUCCUCCAAGGGCCCCAGCCUCAUCUCCCCUGUCACCAGGAUCCAGCCAGAUCUCAAUCCUUGCCCAUCCUAACUGAACCUCCCUCAGAUCCGUCCACUGCCCCCUUCCCCAGGACCACACUCCACCAUCUCUUGCCUGGACCCUGCGAGAACUUCCUGCCUCCCUGCCUCUAUCCUACCCCCUGCCCCCCGCUGAAGCUGAUGAUAGUUCCGGAAUGCAAAACCCCUUAAUGAUUCCCCCAUUGAUCAAAGUCUUCCACAUGCUUUCAAGGUCCUUGGUGAUCCAGGACCUGCCGCCUUCUGCAGUCUCCCUACUGAUGCCAUAGUUUUGGCUUCUGGCCUCAUAUGUCCCGGGUCAUUUCUCUGGUCACUGGCUCCUCUUACCCCUGACUCAGCUGGCUCACUGCUUUCCCAUUGGAUCUCAACCCUGUGUACCUGGGGAGAGCGGAACUCUGUAUGUCUUGUCUUGUGCUAGUAGUCACUCAGUGUGUAUGUGUG
rnacentral:lncRNA from 1 species